GGCGCUGUAUAUAGGCAAGUUACAUGUGUUAUUGUUAUGAAAUCUAUUUAUAGCCACAGAUCUGUUUACAAGUUCCAAUCAUUUAAUGUUGUAAUAUUAUCAUUUGUGGUACAUUAUAUGUAUCAAAAUUACGAGUUUUUAAUAGUGCUUUAACAUUUAAUCAUAGUGAUAGAAAAAGGAAAAGAAAACAUAAUUAACCUAUAAUUCGAAUCUAAAGUCACGUGGAUGGAAAUUCAAAUUCGUAGGCGUUACGUUUUGGCUGUCGGUCAGGAAUCGGGAUGCAUUGAUAAGUGAAUAUUAUAGAUUUUCUUGAACAAAAAGGUAGUUAAAGUGUUGGACAUGCUCUCAAAGGUCGGAGGGACGGAAACACGUGAAUAUGUAAAAAGAAACAUAUGAAAUGAAAAUGAUGUCACACACGCUAUUGGGCGCUACAAACGCUACAUAUCCUCCGGACAGACGAGGGGUGCUGAAAGAAGGUCAUAUCUUAAAGCAUCACACCUCAAAUUCGUGCUAAUUCUCAUGGAUAUCU